rnacentral:lncRNA from 1 species
CCGAAUUGAUUUAGAAUUUUCAUACAACUUGAGCAAUGAAAUAUUCCCCUGAUAGUGUAGUUUCAAAUCUGAAACUACUGUAGUCUAUUCUACAACAGAUUUGUGUCUGUCUGUUUUAGUCAGGGCAGUUAAUCCCAUGUAUCCCGGUGGGCCUACAGUGAGAGUGGAGGAGACAAGAUGGCCAUGACUGUCACAGCAAGAAGAGCUCAUGACAUCUGGCUGUGAGCUGGAACCUGUCACCUUGAUCCGCCACAGACUCUGGACUGCCACAAAAUGCACAAAAGAACUGCUCGUACACUAAAUGAAUUUGGCAUUUUGAAAAACAGUCCCGAUCUGAUGGUAGACACCAUAUUUGCAGUGCCAGCCUUUCAUGCCUAUGCUCAUGAUGCUGACUACCAGGCCACUGAUGGUACCAGGUAUGUGACUGGUAGUGGGCUUGCUGGCUGAGAACAGAUGGAGAGAUUAUGGUCCUACCUUUGAAAAUGUGGGUAGAUCACAAAAGAGAUGACACCGUCUCAUGGUGUUGACACCCUCACUGAUGCCCUCCUCUACUACGCAGCCAGGGUCAGCGAGAAGCAAGGUAUACAUGUAGAACUGGAAAUCACACCGACAAUAGAACUCUGUCGGCAGAAGGUCCUGAAGGAGGAAACCAAGGCAAAAGAGGAGUUAAUGGUGCUGCUAAACAGCAUUCCAGUAUCUGCAUGAACCAUCAGGCCAAGUGUUUUUGGUUGACCCUGCUGGACAGAAAGAGAAGGAGGAAUCGGAACACACUGCAUUCAAAUUCAGGUCUUAGUUAUUCCAUUGUGUUGGAUCUAAUACAUAUUAGCAUUUUACAUUCAUAAGUGUAAUACUUUUUUAUGACAUACUGUGAAAAACUCUCUUGGCUGCUGGCUCUGUCACUUUCAGACAUGCAGAGCAGACUUGAACCACAGGGGUUCUCUGUAAAGAGAGAGUAAUCCAAAAGGCACAGACACACCCCUUGACUUUCAAUUGGCACCGUUGACCUGUAUGUAUUCUCUCCUGAUUGGCUCUGUGGUGCAAAGUCUGGCAGUCUGACUAAAGUGCCAGAGGUAUGAGGAGAGACAUCCUCCUUUGUAUUUAUGGGAACAAAUAUUUCCUAACACUUUGGAUCCUAUUCUUGGACAGUUAGAAGACACAAUGCAUCAAUGCAAAACGUUUUUUUAUCACUAAUUACUGUCCAUGAGUAACCUCAACCUUGUGGGUCUAUAGGUGUUUGGGCCAAUAAAGUGCCAACUCAAUUCUACCACUGACUAGUCUCUCAUGCCCCUAUGAACGGGGACACAAGGCAAUAGUUUUAAUUUAAACCAGCCCUUUUUACUGGAGUAAAUUAACCCCUAAUUGGGGCUAUUUUCUUGACACAUAGUAGCAGUUUACAAGAUAAGAAGUCAAGAAGAUCAAAAAGUAGAUUGUUGUAAGGGUGUAUUACGUCCUGUGCUGGCCCCAUUGUCAUAUCCAUUCUGGAUUCUGAGUGGUAAAAUCAUAGCUGAAAAAUGCCUCUAUGUAUGUGUAUACAUUUUCCCCCAAGACAGAACUGCCAAAGGGGGUGGAGUUGCAAUCUACUACAGAGACAGCCUGCAGAGUUCUGUCAUGCUAUCCAGGUCUGUGCCCAAACAGUUCGAGCUUCUACUUUUGAAAAUCCACCUUUCCAGAAAUAAGUCUCUUACUGUUGCCGCUUGUUACAGACCCCCCUCAGCCCCCAGCUGCGCCCCGGACACCAUAUGUGAAUUAAUUGCCCCCCAUUUAUCUUCAGAGUUUGUACUGUUAGGUGACCUAAACUGGGAUAUGCUUAACACCCUGGCCGUCCUACAAUCUAAACUAGAUGCCCUCAAUCUCACCCAAAUUAUCAUGGAACCUACCAGGUACAACCCCAAAUCCGUAAACUCGGGCACCCUCAUAGAUAUCAUCCUGACCAACCUGUCCUCUAAAUACACCUCAGCUGUCUUCAACCAGGAUCUCAGCGAUCACUGCCUCAUUGCCUGCGUCCGUAAUGGGUCCGCGGUCAAACGACCACCCCUCAUCGCUGUCAAACGCUCCCUAAAACAUUUCAGCGAACAGGCCUUUCUAAUCAACCUGGCCCGGGUAUCCUGGAAGGAUAUUGACCUCAUCCCGUCAGUAGAGGAUGCCUGGUUAUUCUUUAAAAGUGCUUUCCUCACCAUCUUAAAUAUCAAAUCAAAUUUUCUUUGUCACAUACACAUGGUUAGCAGAUGUUAAUGCGAGUGUAGCAAAAUGCUUGUGCUUCUAGUUCCGACCAUGCAGUAAUAUCUAACAAGUAAUCUAACCUAACAAUUUCACAACAACUAACGUAUACCCUCAAGUGAGGGUAUACGCGUCACUUGAGUGGGUUGAGUCACUGACGUGGUCUUCCUGUCUGGGUUGGCGCCCCCCCUUGGGUUGUGCCAUGGCGGAGAUCGUUGUGGGCUAUACUCGGCCUUGUCUUAGGAUGGUAAGUUGGUGGUUGGAGACAUCCCUCUAGUGAUGUGGGGGCUGUGCUUUGGCAAAGUGGGUGGGGUUAUAUCCUGCCUGUUUGGCCCUGUCCGGGGGUAUCAUCGGAAGGUUGCCACAGUGUCUUCUGAUCCCUCCUGUCUCAGCCUCCAGUAUUUAUGCUGCAGUAGUUUAUGUGUCGGGGGGCUAGGGUCAGUCUGUUACAUCUGGAGUAUUUCUCUUGUCUUAUCCGGUGUCCUGUGUGAAUUUAAAUAUGC